rnacentral:lncRNA from 13 species
GGGAAAUCUUGGCAAGUAAAAUUUUAAUUUUAAACAGAAAUUAUUUACUCUGCCACUCCUGUGGGAAUUAUUAUAGUCACGCUACUAUUUGCAAUAGAGAACUAUACACUGUGGCACCCACGAUGUGGAAUUCUGGUUGUAAAAUUCUAAUUGCUGUAAUAUUUUGCCUGAUUAUCCUUAUAAAAGGAUUAAUUAAUUGCAGUAAAAAUCUAGUCAAGGUUGUUUUGCUUAUAGCAGGAGUAAUAGUUACGGAUAAGAAGCAAUCAUGAAAAUUUUACUGUCAUUAAUAGGGCUUUUUACUGAAUGUUGGUGAUACGAUGCACUGGAAGCUAUGAAAAGGUUAUAAAAAACAGAGAUUUUACAUAAGGAAGGGUCUUAUAUGGUAAUUUGUUGUCCUAAAAGGAAGUGAUUGGUUGUUUAAAGGAAGGAUGUUUAGAAGACAAGAAAGUUUAAUUAUGUUGUAAGAGGGUAUGUGAAAGUCAUGAAAAAAAUUAAUUAAAGGAAAGGAAUUGUCAAGAUUAACACAAAAAUUAUUUUAGCCACCCAGUAACAUAUUUCUUCCAAUUGUAUUACAAGUUAUAAAAAUGGCCUAAGAUGGCAAGUUAAGGGGGAAAUGUAUGCUUUUAUCAAGAAAAAUGAUACCUUUAUAUUAACGUUUCUGGUAAUGUACAGCGACAUCUAAUGGAGACAACGGAUAUUGCAAUCCAUUGCUGUAACAGGUGUUAAACUCAGUUAUGGUUUAUAGGACCCCCACUAAGGGCGGUAAUCUUAAUACUCAUAUUCUAACCCUGUAUUUUAAACCGUCUUGUAAAAUUUAUCUCUUUUCACCUAGAAGCAAACUCCAAAUGGUGUUGCAAGCAGAACCACACAUGGACAUGCCAUUCUUCCGAGAACGCUUAGAUCAACCUCAGGAAAAGGCCCAGUUGCUGUUCCCCCACAUGAUGCUCCUUUUCAGCAGGAAGUAGCCAGAAGGAAUCAUCGCCUAACACCCCCUAACAGCAUUCGGUGUCGGAGAGGUCUGUUUCUCGCGGCUGCUCCUGCUUCAUUUGGUUCCCUGACCAGGAAACGAGUUUCAGUUGGCAGACAGCUGGAGAAGAAUCCCUGUAAGGGGCUCCCACCCACUGGGGCAACACAGUUCCUGACAGCACUCCUGGGCAGGUAUUUGCCCAGUGGAAAGCCUCGCCUGAGCGGAGCAGGAACGGCCCUGCAGUGUGGAUCCACCCAGUGGCUGAACAGGUACUUGGAAUGUCCGGACAACAGAAACACAGUCCUGGGAAACUUGCCCACCUCCUUUAGGUGGAAGUGUGACCUGAUCACCCACGUGUGCCAGAUUUGGCGCUUUUGAGCUUGGUGCUCUCUCUCUCUCUCUCUCUCUGUAACUAACCUUGGAAGCUUUUGCUUAUGGUUUCAAUUUGGGUGGAGGGAGAAGAACGAUUGUGUGUGUGUGUGGAGGGGUCCAACUGGACUCAUCAGCCGUGAAAUGUGGAAAUAUCAGGCCCAUUAGAAGGGGCCUCAUACUUCGAGCAAUUUGUAGGGCUAGUUGGAAUUAAAGACAGCCACAUAAGGCUGAGUGGAGGAGCCUUUGCCAUCUAGGUGUUGUAAAAGGAUUGAAGUGAAC